rnacentral:tRNA from 1 species
UAAGAACUGAUGUAAUUGGUAACAUAUUUGGGUUAAACCCAAAAAUUAAAGGUUCGAAGCCUUUGUUCUUAA